rnacentral:rRNA from 1 species
GAUGAACGCUGGCGGCGUGCUUAACACAUGCAAGUCGAACGGUGAAGGCGGAGCUUGCUCUGCUGGAUCAGUGGCGAACGGGUGAGUAACACGUGAGCAAUCUGCCCCUGACUCUGGGAUAAGCGCUGGAAACGGCGUCUAAUACUGGAUACGAGCUGCGAAGGCAUCUUCAGCAGCUGGAAAGAACUUCGGUCAGGGAUGAGCUCGCGGCCUAUCAGCUUGUUGGUGAGGUAACGGCUCACCAAGGCGUCGACGGGUAGCCGGCCUGAGAGGGUGACCGACCACACUGGGACUGAGACACGGCCCAGACUCCUACGGGAGGCAGCAGUGGGGAAUAUUGCACAAUGGGCGAAAGCCUGAUGCAGCAACGCCGCGUGAGGGACGACGGCCUUCGGGUUGUAAACCUCUUUUAGCAGGGAAGAAGCGAAAGUGACGGUACCUGCAGAAAAAGCGCCGGCUAACUACGUG